GGUCCUAUGGCCCAAUGGUUAAGGCGCGCGCCUACGAAGCGCGAGAUUCCAAGUUCGAUCCUUGGUAGGAUCG